rnacentral:sRNA from 1 species
GCCGCGCCUAGCCCGACGGGGCGAAGACCGGGACCCCUUGCCCGGCGGCUGGCGCAGCUUGUAAAUCCAAAGA